GGGGAUGUGGUGGAGUUGGUUUACCACGCCGGCCUGUCACGCCGGAGGUCGCGAGUUCGAGUCUCGUCAUCCUCG
rnacentral:tRNA from 1 species